rnacentral:tRNA from 1 species
GCAGGGGUGCCCGAGUCCGGUCAAAGGGGCAGGACUUAAGAUCCUGUGGCUUAGUGCCUGCGAGGGUUCAAAUCCCUCCCCCUGCA